AAACUUCUUUAUCACCGAGUGCUUGCACUCACCGAUAAAGAGUUGAGUGGCGAACGGGUGAGUAACACGUGGGCAACCUGCCCAAAAGAGGGGGAUAACACUUGGAAACAGGUGCUAAUACCGCAUAACCAUAGUUACCGCAUGGUAACUAUGUAAAAGGUGGCUAUGCUACCGCUUUUGGAUGGGCCCGCGGCGCAUUAGCUAGUUGGUGAGGUAAAGGCUUACCAAGGCAAUGAUGCGUAGCCGAACUGAGAGGUUGAUCGGCCACAUUGGGACUGAGACACGGCCCAAACUCCUACGGGAGGCAGCAGUAGGGAAUCUUCCACAAUGGGCGAAAGCCUGAUGGAGCAACGCCGCGUGGGUGAAGAAGGUCUUCGGAUCGUAAAACCCUGUUGUUAGAGAAGAA
rnacentral:rRNA from 2 species